rnacentral:sRNA from 10 species
UCGAGUGUGAAGGAGUGGUUUAUCUAAACAGUGGAAACAGGGAAACACUUGAUUUAGUUAAACCAGAAU